AAACAUGUCUUUUUGAAUUUAAUUUAAAGUCUGACCUGCCCACUGAAUUAUUUAAAUGGCCGCAGUAUUUUGACUGUGCAAAGGUAGCAUAAUCAUUAGUUUUUUUAUUGAAAGCUGGUAUGAAUGGUUGGACGAAGUAUAAGCUGUUUCAUAUAAAUUUAUUAUAGAAUUUUAUAUUUUAGUUAAAAAGCUAAAAUUUUUUUAAAAGACGAGAAGACCCUAUAAAUCUUUAUAUUUAAUAUUAUUUAAAUUUUUUAAAUUUAUUAUAUUUUUAUAAUAUUAAUUAUUUUAUUGGGGUGAUAUUAAAAUUUAAUAAACUUUUAAUUAUUUAAAAUCAUUAAUUUAUGAAUUAUUGAUCCAUUAAUAUUGAUUAUGAGAUUAAGUUACUUUAGGGAUAACAGCGUAAUUUUUUUUUAGAGUUCAUAUCGAUAAAAAAGUUUGCGACCUCGAUGUUGGAUUAAGAGUAAGUUUGGGUGUAGCUGUUCAAAUGUUAAGUCUGUUCGACUUUUAAAUUCUUACAUGAUC
rnacentral:rRNA from 1 species